rnacentral:lncRNA from 1 species
UGUGACCUAAUAUGUCGACAUUGUGAUAUUAAAUCUCCAGCAUAUCAGCUCUAGAUCUCAGCCAAAUCCACUGUAUAUCAUCAUAUAUAUAGAUUGGGAGAGAGAAAAUGUCAUUUGGUAGCUUAUUUUUGCACAACACAUAUCCUAGAGCUUCUCUCUCUAAAACCUCUGAUAUUUCCUUCAUAUAUCAGUCACAAAUCAAACCCACUUACACUCACAACAAAUCAGAGGCAUAUAUUCAAGAAUUUGUGCUUAAAAGUAUAAAACCCUAAUAAAAAAUUUAACCCUUGAUCUUCUGUUAAAAGUUGUGUCUAUGUGUUGUAAUAUGUUCUAUGUAGUGUGAAUCAAUGAUCUGGGUUGAUAGAUGUUAG